rnacentral:rRNA from 1 species
GAUGAACGCUGGCGGCGUGCCUAAUACAUGCAAGUCGAGCGAAUGGAUUAAGAGCUUGCUCUUAUGAAGUUAGCGGCGGACGGGUGAGUAACACGUGGGUAACCUGCCCAUAAGACUGGGAUAACUCCGGGAAACCGGGGCUAAUACCGGAUAACAUUUUGAACCGCAUGGUUCGAAAUUGAAAGGCGACUUCGGCUGUCACUUAUGGAUGGACCCGCGUCGCAUUAGCUAGUUGGUGAGGUAACGGCUCACCAAGGCAACGAUGCGUAGCCGACCGGGGAGGGUGAUCGGCCACACUGGGACUGAGACACGGCCCAGACUCCUACGGGAGGCAGCAGUAGGGAAUCUUCCGCAAUGGACGAAAGUCUGACGGAGCAACGCCGCGUGAGUGAUGAAGGCUUUCGGGUCGUAAAACUCUGUUGUUAGGGAAGAACAAGUGCUAGUUGAAUAAGCUGGCACCUUGACGGUACCUAACCAGAAAGCCACGGCUAACUACGUGCCAGCCGCCGCCGUAA